UUUCUUUCUGUUGAAUCUUGAAGAGUUGGAUUCAACUGGACAUUAAGUGUCUAUGGUCAUCGGCGUCGAUGAUUCGCUGGUCGCCGCCGCGCGUAAAGAUGGCUCCCUGAAGAUUUGGACAUUUUCCUCCUGACACAGAAGGCUGUGCUUGGUUCGGCUGGUGUCUCAUUAUAUGGCAGAUGACUUUG